rnacentral:misc_RNA from 1 species
GAUGAAGAACGUAGCGAAAUGGGAUACGUAAUGUGAAUUGCAGAAUUCAGUGAAUCAUCGAGUCUUUGAACGCACAUUGCGCCCCCUGGUAUUCCGGGGGGCAUGCCUGUCCGAGCGUCAUUGCUGCCCUCAAGCACGGCUUGUGUGUUGGGCCUCCGUCCUCCUCCCGGGGGACGGGCCCGAAAGGCAGCGGCGGCACCGCGUCCGGUCCUCGAGCGUAUGGGGCUUCGUCACCCGCUCUUGUAGGCCCGGCCGGCGCUUGCCGACACAUCAAUCUUUUUUCCAGGUUGACCUCGGAUCAGGUAGGGAUACCCGCUGAACUUAAGCAUAUCAAUAAGCGGAGGA